AAAGGAGCAAUUGUGUGCUUGGGAGCUGUACAUGUGAGAUUUAUUUGCUGUGGGUCUAGGGGAAGAUGUCACACCUCUUCUGUUGCAGUGCCUCAAAGUCAAAGUAGUGUGCAGUCCCUGCUCCUCCUCCCCCUGGUACAUACAGUAGUUUGUUAUAGGGUAAGCAUGAAAUUGGGCUGGGGACUCCACAUGGACCUAAGAACAAGAAAAUACAAUUGGGGAUAUGGCUGCCUAAGCCCUUAGGUCUUUGGGGAGAACCCAGCCUUACAGCACAACUCAUGCAGCAGCAAGUUGCAGGAGUUGCCCUGGCUUGGCAUGUGCAGAAGCGAGAGAAGGACGCGGCCCCGCACCGCUGGACUUGCUUUUAGCAAACUGUGAGGGUGCUUUGUGUCAGUCAAGUCCACAUCCCGAAGUCAGCAAGUCUACAGGGCCACAGGUUCUGCUGGCAAGCUGCAGUCAGCUUCUGCUGGCCAAGGGGCUGGAGACUGCAGCAGCACGAAGCAGAGCCAGCGAGUGCCUACGGGAAAGGCUGUCUCCCCUGUUGGGGAUAUUUGCUUCACUACCUGGACCUCUGAGCUAGGCAGUCCCAACACCCUUGGGCUAGUUGGUCAGAUUGUCCUGGUUUCUUUCCAUGUCAUUUAACUUGAGCCAUGGGUUUUCCCUGUGUAUGUGCUAUAUGCAGGAAUUAUUCCGGGAUAAAAGGCUUCCGUCAGGGGUGUAUAGCUGGACUGUGUUGUGCACAACCUGGUACAACCUGCCUGUUCAGCUGGAGUAAAUCAUUAUGACUCCAUAGAGGUUCUUAUGUAAUGGAGAAAAACCUACUCCCUCCUCUUGGCCCAGCUGUUCCCUUCCUCUCUUGAGCCACCCCAACACCCCCAGGUUUAAGAGAUCAAUCACUGCCUUUAUCAGGGAAACAGGAAAGCUCCUUCUCUUUCCAGCCCUCCAAAAACAGCAGCACUGCAUCUCCCUGCUUCUGUCACACACAUUGCAAGCAGUUUCCUGAGCAUCCAGAAUAGCAAACUUGUGUCCCCUCAAAGGACACACUUCUCAGCCUGUUGAACGCUUCUUGGCCCUGCAGUGUGGCUACUUAAGAUCAGCUGGGACUUACUUCUAGUAAGAAACAAAAAAAGCACCUAUGAAAUGCUGCAGAGAAAGGCAGACAAAGAACAUGGCCAAUUAUCAUCAUUUGUAAUUCCCUAUUCUAUUGUAAAUACAUCUUGUACAUACUUGGAUGUUUUCAUCAUUUACUGUCUUUAUGGAUUAUGUGUUAAAUGAGACUCUCAGUUUAUUGUGUAACACUGUAAAUAACAUAACGUCCUCUAUUAAUUUAUGCAUAGGCAUCUAACACGCGGAGAAAGUUAUCCUCAUAUUAUUUUAAGAUAUAUGUCAAAAAUACGUUGCAUUUUUCUUUUUGCUUUGAAAAAAAAUGUAAUAUAUCCUCUUUUUCCCCUCUUUUCCUUUAAAAGAAAAAUGAAUGCUAAUUUAUUGUUCAGGAGAGAAAGGGGAUGUAACUGAAAGGCAAACUGUUCAAAGAACAUGCUAUGGAAGCCACAAGCUACUGAUAAACUAAAGAAUUUAUUAUCCCAAAUACAGCAAUAAGUAAUUGUUGAUUUAUUAA